CCCCUCUCAGGGUCGCAUUUGGAGAGUUUCCAAUACUCUACCAGUCUCGACUAUAGGAAGGAGAGGUCAAGCAGUGGCCUAUCCAUUCCAUUCCUAGCUUGACCAGUGGUUAGCGAGUGGAAGGCAAUCUGCUACAAGU